rnacentral:rRNA from 1 species
AUUGAACGCUGGCGGCACGCCUUACACAUGCAAGUCGAACGGUAACGCGGGGCAACCUGGCGACGAGUGGCGAACGGGUGAGUAAUGUAUCGGAACGUGCCCAGUUGUGGGGGAUGACUGCUCGAAAGAGCAGCUAAUACCGCAUACGACCUGAGGGUGAAAGCGGGGGAUCGCAAGACCUCGCGCAAUUGGAGCGGCCGAUAUCAGAUUAGGUAGUUGGUGGGGUAAAGGCCUACCAAGCCUACGAUCUGUAGCUGGUCUGAGAGGACGACCAGCCACACUGGGACUGAGACACGGCCCAGGCUCCUACGGAGGCAGCAGUGGGGAAUUUUGGACAAUGGGGGCAACCCUGAUCCAGCCAUGCCGCGUGCGGGAAGAAGGCCUUCGGGUUGUAAACCGCUUUUGUCAGGGAAGAAAUCCUUUGAACUAAUACUUCGGAGGGAUGACGGUACCUGAAGAAUAAGCACCGGCUAACUACGUGCCAGCCGCCGCGGUAA